CCUACGGGAGGCAGCAGUGGGGAAUAUUGCACCAUGGGUGAAACCCUGAUGCAGCGACGCCGCGUGAAGGAAGAAGGUUUUCGGAUCGUAAACUUCUAUCAGCAGGGAAGAAGAACGUGACAGUACCUGACUCAGAAGCCCCGGCUAACUACGUGCCAGCAGCCGCGGUAAUCCGGAGGGGGCAAGCGCUAGCAGGAAUCACUGGGUGUAACGGGUGCGUAGGCGGUAGGGCAAGUCAGCUGUGAAAACCCGGGGCUCAACCCCGGGAGUGGAGUUGAAACUGUCUUAAUAGAGGGCAGGAGAGGAAAGCGGAAUUCCUAGUGGAGAGGUGAAAUGCGUAGAGAUUAGGAAGAACACCAGGGGCGAAGGCGGCGGGCUGGACGGUAACGGACGCUGAGGCACGAAAGCGUGGGGAGCGAACAGGAUGAGAUACCCUGGUAGUG
rnacentral:rRNA from 1 species